UUACGGCCAUAUCACGUUGAAGCCCCGGUUCCCAUAUGAUCACCGAAGUUAAGCAAUAUCGACCCUGGUCAGUACCUAUCUUGGUGACUUCGUGGAAAUACCGGGGGCUGUAA